rnacentral:lncRNA from 1 species
UCCCAAAGUGUUGUCUCUAAAUCAGUACUGGCUUUGCUUUUCCACCAGAAUGCAAAUUAUGUUAUUUGCUGCCAUUGUGUGUCAAUUAAAGAUAAAAUGUGAAUUCCUACUGCAAUAUGCUCCUACUGGCAUAGCAUCGUGAUUUUCCUAAAAUUCACGGACCAGUUCCCAAAGAUGUUGGCUGCUUGGAUGCAAGAGGACAAGAAGAAACCAGCCACCAUGCCGCAAAUAAUCUCAAACUACCCAUGGGGGAAGAUCAUAUUGGAGAAG